GAAAUUCCAAUGGAAUUGACUUCUGUGCAGCUGCAAGUUCUCGAUAUCUCGAACAACCGGCUCACUGGAGAUAUUCCUGUUAAUGGUUCCUUUUCGCUCUUCACUCCUAUUAGUUUUUACAAUAAUAAUUUAACGCCACUCUCUGAACCUCCGCCUACUUCUACCGCUCCUACGCCACCAC